rnacentral:rRNA from 1 species
UACAGAGGAGCCAAGCGUUGUCCGGAUUGACUGGGCGUAAAGCGCACGCAGGCGGUUGCGCGCGUGGGGUGUGAAAUCUGGCCGCUUAACGGCCAGGCGCCAUCCCAUACGGCGCGACUGGAGUGAUGCAGAGGUCGAUGGAAUUGCCGGUGUAGUGGUGAAAUGCGUAGAUAUCGGAAGGAACAUCAGUGGCGAAAGCGACUUCCUGGACCAAUACUGACGCUCAUGUGCGAAAGCGUGGGGAACAAACAGG